rnacentral:tRNA from 1 species
GGUGGCUCAGUGGUACAGCGCCUGCCUCUCAUGCAUGAGGCCCUGGGUUCAAUUCCUCAGCACCA